GAUGAACGCUGGCGGCGUGCCUAAUACAUGCAAGUCGAACGGGGAGUAGCAAUACUCUUAGUGGCGAACGGGUGAGUAACGCGUUGGUACCUGCCCCGAAGCGGGGGAUAACGGACCGAAAGGUCCGCUAAUACCCCAUGUGCUCGGUAACGAGUAAAGGUGAAAACCACUUUGGGAGGGGCAUGCGUCCCAUCAGCUAGUUGGUAAGGUAACGGCUUACCAAGGCGAUGACGGGUAGGGGACCUGAGAGGGUGGCCCCCCACAAUGGAACUGAAACACGGUCCAUACACCUACGGGUGGCAGCAGUAGGGAAUAUUGGUAAUGGGCGCAAGCCUGAACCAGCAACGCCGCGUGUGCGAUGACGGCCUUCGGGUUGUAAAGCACUUUUGACUGGGACGAGGAAGGACGGUACCGGUCGAAUCAGCCUCGGCUAACUACGU
rnacentral:rRNA from 1 species